AGUGAACGCUGGCGGUAGGCCUAACACAUGCAAGUCGAACGGCAGCACAGUAAGAGCUUGCUCUUACGGGUGGCGAGUGGCGGACGGGUGAGGAAUACAUCGGAAUCUACUUUUUCGUGGGGGAUAACGUAGGGAAACUUACGCUAAUACCGCAUACGACCUACGGGUGAAAGCAGGGGAUCUUCGGACCUUGCGCGAUUGAAUGAGCCGAUGUCGGAUUAGCUAGUUGGCGGGGUAAAGGCCCACCAAGGCGACGAUCCGUAGCUGGUCUGAGAGGAUGAUCAGCCACCCUGGAACUGAGACCCGGUCCAGACUCCUACGGGGGGCAGCAGUGGGGAAUAUUGGACAAUGGGCGCAAGCCUGAUCCAGCCAUACCGCGUGUGUGAAGAAGGCCUUCGGGUUGUAAAGCCCUUUUGUUGGGAAAGAAAAGCAGCAGGUUAAUACCCCGCUGUUCUGACGGUACCCAAAGAAUAAGCACCGGCUAACUUCG
rnacentral:rRNA from 1 species